rnacentral:rRNA from 1 species
GAACACCUUUUGAGAGUUUGAUCCUGGCUCAGAACGAACGCUGGCGGCGCGCCUAAUACAUGCAAGUCGAGCGAGAAGACGUAGCAAUACGUUUGUAAAGCGGCGAACGGGUGAGGAAUACAUGGGUAACCUACCCUCGAGUGGGGAAUAACUAGCCGAAAGGUUAGCUAAUACCGCAUACGACUCUCGGUCUGCGGAUCGAGAGGGAAAGCGAUACCGUGGGUAUCGCGCUCAUGGAUGGGCUCAUGUCCUAUCAGCUUGUUGGCGAGGUAACGGCUCACCAAGGCUUCGACGGGUAGCUGGUCUGAGAGGACGAUCAGCCACACUGGCACUGCGACACGGGCCAGACUCCUACGGGAGGCAGCAGUAAGGAAUAUUGCGCAAUGGGCGACAGCCUGACGCAGCGACGCCGCGUGGGGGAUGAAGGUCUUCGGAUUGUAAACCCCUUUCGGCAGGGAAGAUGGAACGGGUAACCGUUCGGACGGUACCUGCAGAAGCAGCCACGGCUAACUUCGUGCCAGCAGCCGCGGUAAUACGAAGGUGGCAAGCGUUGUUCGGAUUUACUGGGCGUACAGGGAGCGUAGGCGGUUGGGUAAGCCCUCCGUGAAAUCUCCGGGCCUAACCCGGAAAGUGCGGAGGGGACUGCUCGGCUAGAGGAUGGGAGAGGAGCGCGGAAUUCCCGGUGUAGCGGUGAAAUGCGUAGAGAUCGGGAGGAAGGCCGGUGGCGAAGGCGGCGCUCUGGAACAUUUCUGACGCUGAGGCUCGAAAGCGUGGGGAGCAAACAGGAUUAGAUACCCUGGUAGUCCACGCCUUAAACUAUGAAUACUAAGUGUCGGCGGGUUACCGCCGGUGCCGCAGCUAACGCAUUAAGUAUUCCGCCUGGGAAGUACGGCCGCAAGGUUGAAACUCAAAGGAAUUGACGGGGGCCCGCACAAGCGGUGGAGCAUGUGGUUUAAUUCGACGCAACGCGAA